AGCAUAUGCUUAUCUUUGAGAUUAAGCCAUGCAUGUCUAAGUAUAAGUUAUAUACCGCGAAACUGCGAAUGGCUCAUUAAAACAGUUAUAGUAUAUUUGAUGAUGUUUUUAUAUGGAUAACCGUUGGGAAACCAGAGCUAAUACAUGCUUAAAGACUUUCGGGUUGUAUUUAUUAGCUAUAAACCAAUGCCUUAGGGCUUUGUGAGGAAUCAUAAUAACUGAUCGAAGCGCACUUGUGUGUGCUAAAUCUUUCUAGUUUCUGCUCUAUCAGUUUUGAUGGUAGUGUAUUGGACUACCAUGACUAUCACGGGUAACGGAGAAUUAGGGUUCGAUUCCGGAGAGGGAGCCUGAGAAACGGCUACCACAUCCAUGGUAGGCAGCAGGCGCGUAAAUUACCCAAUCCUGAUUCAGGGAGGUAGUUACGAGAAAUAUGGGAUCGGCAAAUGCCGAGGUUCAACUGGACUGAAUUUAAACCAUUCUAUGAAUACGAUUGGAGGGCAAGUCUGGUGCCAGCAGCCGCGGUAACUCCAGCUCCAAUAGUGUAUCUUAACGUUGUUGCAGUUAAAAAGCUCGUAGUUGAAUUUCUGGUUAGUUGAUUACUCUCAGGAGUGAUCUGACUAAUCAUCCGCGUUAGAAACUAGCCAGGUAUUUAUUUACCAGUUAGUGAAAGGCGCAUUUUACUUUGAAGAAAUUAGAGUGUUCCAAGCAAGCUUUGCAUGAAUAUUACAGCAUGGAAUAAUGGAAUAGGACAGAGUCAAUUUUAUUGGUUAUUCGACUUUGUAAUGAUUAACAGGGACAGUUGGGGGCAUUCGUAUUCAGUUGUCAGAGGUGAAAUUCGUAGAUUAACUGAAGACGAACUAAUGCGAAAGCAUUUGCCAAGGAUGUUUUCAUUAAUCAAGAACGAAAGUUAGGGGAUCGAAGACGAUUAGAUACCGUCGUAGUCCUAACUAUAAACUAUACCGACUAGGGAUUGGCAUAGGGAAGACCUAUGUCAGCACCUAAUGAGAAAUCAAAGUCUUUAGGUUCUGGGGGGAGUAUGUUCGCAAGAAUGAAACUUAAAGGAAUUGACGGAAGGGCACCACCAGGAGUGGAGCCUGCGGCUCAAUUUGACUCAACGCGGGGAAACUUACCAGGGCAAGACCUGAGAAUGAUUGACAAUUUGAGAGCUUUUUCUUGAUUACAGGGAUGGUGGUGCAUGGCCGUUCUUAGUUGGUGAAGUGAUUUGUCCGGUUAAUUCCUUUAACAAACGAGACCUUAACCUGCUAAACUAGAAGCGCUUAUUUUAGGCGUUUUCUUCUUAGAGGGACUAUGAUUCAAAAUUCAUGGAAGUUUGAGGCAAUAACAGGUCCGUGAUGCCCUUAGACGUUCUGGGCCGCACGUGUGCUACACUGACUCACGCAACAAGUUUUUGACCUAACCCGAAAGGGGACGGGAAAUCUUUUUAAUAUGAGUCGUGCUAGGGAUUGAUCUUUGCAAUUUUGGAUCAUGAACGAGGAAUUCCUAGUAGGCAUAAGUCAUCAUCUUGUGCCGAUUACGUCCCUGCCCUUUGUACACACCGCCCGUCAU
rnacentral:rRNA from 1 species